CACGACGGCGGUGGUGGUGGGGGAGCCACGGGCCCGCUGAAGGCCAGUCAGCCAUUCCAGUUACCGCGUGGGGCCACCUUCUUGCUCGGAGGCCGCUGGUGGUGAAUCCC
rnacentral:miRNA from 1 species